rnacentral:rRNA from 1 species
UAAAGGAAGCGAUUCCGGCUACGGAUGGUCAUGCGUCGCAUUAGCUAGUUGGCGGGGUAACGGCCCACCAAGGCGACGAUGCGUAGGGGUUCUGAGAGGAAGGUCCCCCACACUGGUACUGAGACACGGACCAGACUCCUACGGGAGGCAGCAGUGAGGAAUAUUGGUCAAUGGCCGCAGGGCUGAACCAGCCAAGUCGCGUGAGGGAUGACGGUCCUAUGGAUUGUAAACCUCUUUUGUCAGGGAGCAAAGGGCGCCACGUGUGGCGCUUUGCGAGUACCUGAAGAAAAAGCAUCGGCUAACUCCGUGCCAGCAGCCGCGGUAAUACGGAGGAUGCGAGCGUUAUCCGGAUUUAUUGGGUUUAAAGGGUGCGCAGGCGGAAUGUCAAGUCAGCGGUAAAAUUUCGGGGCUCAACCCCGUCGUGCCGUUGAAACUGGCGUUCUUGAGUGAGCGAGAAGUAUGCGGAAUGCGUGGUGUAGCGGUGAAAUGCAUAGAUAUCACGCAGAACUCCGAUUGCGAGGGCAGCAUACCGGCGCUCAACUGACGCUCAUGCACGAAAGCGUGGGUAUCGAACAGGAUUAGAUACCCUGGUAGUCCACGCAGUAAACGAUGAAUACUAACUGUCCGGGCAGAAUGAUGCCUGG